rnacentral:rRNA from 1 species
GACGAACGCUGGCGGCGUGCUUAACACAUGCAAGUCGAACGGAAAGGCCCUGCUUUUGUGGGGUGCUCGAGUGGCGAACGGGUGAGUAACACGUGAGUAACCUGCCCUUGACUUUGGGAUAACUUCAGGAAACUGGGGCUAAUACCGGAUAGGAGCUCCUGCUGCAUGGUGGGGGUUGGAAAGUUUCGGCGGUUGGGGAUGGACUCGCGGCUUAUCAGCUUGUUGGUGGGGUAGUGGCUUACCAAGGCUUUGACGGGUAGCCGGCCUGAGAGGGUGACCGGCCACAUGGGGACUGAGAUACGGCCCAGAGUCCUACGGGAGGCAGCAGUGGGGAAUAUUGCACAGUGGGCGGGAGCCUGAUGCAGCGACGUCGGGUGCGGGAUGACGGCCUUCGGGUUGUAAACCGCUUUCGCCUGUGACGAAGCGUGAGUGACGGUAAUGGGUGAAGAAGCACCGGCUAACUACGUG